CGGUCUAUCAUGCAGUCGAGCGAACGGACGAGAAGCUUGCUUCUCUGAUGUUAGCGGCGGACGGGUGAGUAACACGUGGAUAACCUACCUAUAAGACUGGGAUAACUUCGGGAAACCGGAGCUAAUACCGGAUAAUAUUUUGAACCGCAUGGUUCAAAAGUGAAAGACGGUCUUGCUGUCACUUAUAGAUGGAUCCGCGCUGCAUUAGCUAGUUGGUAAGGUAACGGCUUACCAAGGCAACGAUGCAUAGCCGACCUGAGAGGGUGAUCGGCCACACUGGAACUGAGACACGGUCCAGACUCCUACGGGAGGCAGCAGUAGGGAAUCUUCCGCAAUGGGCGAAAGCCUGACGGAGCAACGCCGCGUGAGUGAUGAAGGUCUUCGGAUCGUAAAACUCUGUUAUUAGGGAAGAACAUAUGUGUAAGUAACUGUGCACAUCUUGACGGUACCUAAUCAGAAAGCCACGGCUAACUACGUGCCAGCAGCCGCGGUAAUACGUAGGUGGCAAGCGUUAUCCGGAAUUAUUGGGCGUAAAGCGCGCGUAGGCGGUUUUUUAAGUCUGAUGUGAAAGCCCACGGCUCAACCGUGGAGGGUCAUUGGAAACUGGAAAACUUGAGUGCAGAAGAGGAAAGUGGAAUUCCAUGUGUAGCGGUGAAAUGCGCAGAGAUAUGGAGGAACACCAGUGGCGAAGGCGACUUUCUGGUCUGUAACUGACGCUGAUGUGCGAAAGCGUGGGGAUCAAACAGGAUUAGAUACCCUGGUAGUCCACGCCGUAAACGAUGAGUGCUAAGUGUUAGGGGGUUUCCGCCCCUUAGUGCUGCAGCUAACGCAUUAAGCACUCCGCCUGGGGAGUACGACCGCAAGGUUGAAACUCAAAGGAAUUGACGGGGACCCGCACAAGCGGUGGAGCAUGUGGUUAAUUCGAAGCAACGCGAAGACCUUACCAAUCUUGACUCCUUUGACACUCUAGAGAUAGAGCUUUCCCUUCGGGGGACAAGUGACAGGUGGUCAUGGUUGUCGUC
rnacentral:rRNA from 1 species